rnacentral:rRNA from 1 species
GAUGAACGCUGGCGGCGUGCCUAAUACAUGCAAGUCGAGCGAAAAGAUAAGGAGCUUGCUCCUUUGACGUUAGCGGCGGACGGGUGAGUAACACGUGGGUAACCUACCUAUAAGACUGGGAUAACUUCGGGAAACCGGAGACAAUACCGGAUAACAUUUGGAACCGCAUGGUUCUAAAGUGAAUGAUGGUUUUGCUAUCACUUAUAGAUGGACCCGCGCCGGAUUAGCUAGUUGGUAAGGUAACGGCUCACCAAGGCGACGAUACGUAGCUGACCUGAGAGGAUGAUCGGCCACACUGGAACUGAGACACGGUCCAGACUCCUACGGGAGGCAGCAGUAGGGAAUCUUCGGCAAUGGGCGAAAGCCUGACGGAGCAACGCCGCGUGAGUGAUGAAGGGCUUCGGCUCGUAAAACUCUGUUAUUAGGGAAGAACAGCUGUGUAAGAAACUGUGCAUGUCUUGACGGUACCUAAUGAGAAAGCCACGGCUAACUACGUG